rnacentral:pre_miRNA from 1 species
ACAAACUUAAAAACUACCAUUGGAUCAAAAAAUCGAUGUUUGAAAUUUGUUCACAUCAUCAUGACUAAAAAUUUCACUGUGACUCAUCAAUAAAUCCGUGAGUAAACUUUUUACUCGUGAUGACGUGGACGAAUCUCGGACGUCCUUUUUCUGUCCAAUGGUAGUAUACAAGUUUCU